UACGUAGGGUGCAAGCGUUGUCCGGAAUUAUUGGGCGUAAAGAGCUCGUAGGCGGUUUGUCGCGUCUGCUGUGAAAACUCAGGGCUUAACUCUGAGCUUGCAGUGGGUACGGGCAGACUAGAGUGCGGUAGGGGAGACUGGAAUUCCUGGUGUAGCGGUGAAAUGCGCAGAUAUCUGGAGGAACACCGGUGGCGAAGGCGGCAUCCUGGACCAACACUGACACUGAGGAGCGAAAGCCAGGGGAGCAAACGGG
rnacentral:rRNA from 1 species